rnacentral:rRNA from 1 species
CAGCCGCCGCGGGAAUACAGAGGGUGCGAGCGUUAAUCGGAUUUACUGGGCGUAAAGCGUGCGUAGGCGGCUUCUUAAGUCGGAUGUGAAAUCCCUGAGCUUAACUUAGGAAUUGCAUUUGAUACUGGGAAGCUAGAGUAUGGGAGAGGAUGGUAGAAUUCCAGGUGUAGCGGUGAAAUGCGUAGAGAUCUGGAGGAAUACCGAUGGCGAAGGCAGCCAUCUGGCCUAAUACUGACGCUGAGGUACGAAAGCAUGGGGAGCAAACAGGAUUAGAUACCCCGGUAGUCCCUGUCUCUUAUAC